rnacentral:rRNA from 1 species
AGCGAACGCUGGCGGCAGGCUUAACACAUGCAAGUCGAGCGGGCAUCCUUGUGGUGUCAGCGGCAGACGGGUGAGUAACGCGUGGGAACGUGCCCUUCGGUUCGGAAUAACUCAGGGAAACUUGAGCUAAUACCGGAUACGUGCGAGAGCAGAAAGGUUUAUCUGCCGAAGGAUCGGCCCGCGUCUGAUUAGCUAGUUGGUGAGGUUACGGCUCACCAAGGCGACGAACAGUAGCUGGUCUGAGAGGAUGAUCAGCCACACUGGGACUGAGACACGGCCCAGACUCCUACGGGAGGCAGCAGUGGGGAAUAUUGGACAAUGGGGGCAACCCUGAUCCAGCCAUGCCGCGUGAGUGAUGACGGCCUUAGGGUUGUAAAGCUCUUUUCUCCGGGACGAUAAUGACGGUACCGGAGGAAUAAGCCCCGGCUAACUUCGUG